GAGCAGAUGAUGUAUCAAUAUCAAUAGAUGCUGAGAUUUAUGUCAAUGAAAUGUCAAAAAUCGAGCUUUUUAAAACUGAUGCUCA